UACAGAGGGUGCAAGCGUUAAUCGGAAUUACUGGGCGUAAAGAGCUCGUAGGUGGUUUGUCGCGUUGUUCGUGAAAACCGGGGGCUUAACCCUCGGCGUGCGGGCGAUACGGGCAGACUUGAGUACUGCAGGGGAGACUGGAAUUCCUGGUGUAGCGGUGGAAUGCGCAGAUAUCAGGAGGAACACCGGUGGCGAAGGCGGGUCUCUGGACAGUUCCUGACGGCUGAGGCACGGAAGGCCAGGGGAGCAAACGGG
rnacentral:rRNA from 1 species